rnacentral:rRNA from 1 species
AAAUCCGGUUCACUUUAACACUGAGGCGUGAUGACGAGGCACUACGGUGCUGAAGUAACAAAUGCCCUGCUUCCAGGAAAAGCCUCUAAGCAUCAGGUAACAUCAAAUCGUACCCCAAACCGACACAGGUGGUCAGGUAGAGAAUACCAAGGCGCUUGAGAGAACUCGGGUGAAGGAACUAGGCAAAAUGGUGCCGUAACUUCGGGAGAAGGCACGCUGACACGUAGGUGAAGUGAUUUACUCACGGAGCUGAAGUCAGUCGAAGAUACCAGCUGGCUGCAACUGUUUAUUAAAAACACAGCACUGUGCAAACACGAAAGUGGACGUAUACGGUGUGACGCCUGCCCGGUGCCGGAAGGUUAAUUGAUGGGGUCAGCGCAAGCGAAGCUCCUGAUCGAAGCCCCGGUAAACGGCGGCCGUAACUAUAACGGUCCUAAGGUAGCGAAAUUCCUUGUCGGGUAAGUUCCGACCUGCACGAAUGGCGUAAUGAUGGCCAGGCUGUCUCCACCCGAGACUCAGUGAAAUUGAACUCGCUGUGAAGAUGCAGUGUACCCGCGGCAAGACGGAAAGACCCCGUGAACCUUUACUAUAGCUUGACACUGAACAUUGAGCCUUGAUGUGUAGGAUAGGUGGGAGGCUUUGAAGUGUGGACGCCAGUCUGCAUGGAGCCGACCUUGAAAUACCACCCUUUAAUGUUUGAUGUUCUAACGUGGACCCGUUACCCGGGUUGCGGACAGUGUCUGGUGGGUAGUUUGACUGGGGCGGUCUCCUCCUAAAGAGUAACGGAGGAGCACGAAGGUUGGCUAAUCCUGGUCGGACAUCAGGAGGUUAGUGCAAUGGCAUAAGCCAGCUUGACUGCGAGCGUGACGGCGCGAGCAGGUGCGAAAGCAGGUCAUAGUGAUCCGGUGGUUCUGAAUGGAAGGGCCAUCGCUCAACGGAUAAAAGGUACUCCGGGGAUAACAGGCUGAUACCGCCCAAGAGUUCAUAUCGACGGCGGUGUUUGGCACCUCGAUGUCGGCUCAUCACAUCCUGGGGCUGAAGUAGGUCCCAAGGGUAUGGCUGUUCGCCAUUUAAAGUGGUACGCGAGCUGGGUUUAGAACGUCGUGAGACAGUUCGGUCCCUAUCUGCCGUGGGCGCUGGAGAACUGAGGGGGGCUGCUCCUAGUACGAGAGGACCGGAGUGGACGCAUCACUGGUGUUCGGGUUGUCAUGCCAAUGGCACUGCCCGGUAGCUAAAUGCGGAAGAGAUAAGUGCUGAAAGCAUCUAAGCACGAAACUUGCCCCGAGAUGAGUUCUCCCUGAGACUUUAGGUCUCCUGAAGGAACGUUGAAGACGACGACGUUGAUAGGCCGGGUGUGUAAGCGCAGCGAUGCGUUGAGCUAACCGGUACUAAUGAACCGUGAGGCUUAACCUUACAACGCCG